GACGAACGCUGGCGGCGUGCUUAACACAUGCAAGUCGAACGGAAAGGCCCUGCUUUUGUGGGGUGCUCGAGUGGCGAACGGGUGAGUAACACGUGAGUAACCUGCCCUUGACUUUGGGAUAACUUCAGGAAACUGGGGCUAUUACCGGAUAGGAGCUCCUGCUGCAUGGUGGGGGUUGGAAAGUUUCGGCGGUUGGGGAUGGACUCGCGGCUUAUCAGCUUGUUGGUGGGGUAGUGGCUUACCAAGGCUUUGACGGGUAGCCGGCCUGAGAGGGUGACCGGCCACAUUGGGACUGAGAUACGGCCCAGACUCCUACGGGAGGCAGCAGUGGGGAAUAUUGCACAAUGGGCGGAAGCAUGAUGCAGCAACGCCGCGUGCGGGAUGACGGCCUUCGGGUUGUAAACAGCUUUCGACUGUGACGAAGCGUGAGUGACGGUAAUGGGUAAAGAAGCACCGGCUAACUACGUG
rnacentral:rRNA from 1 species